CCUACGGGAGGGCAGCAGUGGGGAAUAUUGGACAAUGGGCGAAAGCCUGAUCCAGCCAUGCCGCGUGUGUGAAGAAGGCCUUCGGGUUGUAAAGCACUUUCAGUGGGGAAGAAAGCCUUGGGGCUAAUACCCUCGAGGAAGGACAUCACCCACAGAAGAAGCACCGGCUAACUCCGUGCCAGCAGCCGCGGUAAUACGGAGGGUGCGAGCGUUAAUCGGAAUUACUGGGCGUAAAGCGCGCGUAGGCGGUCUGAUAAGCCGGUUGUGAAAGCCCCGGGCUCAACCUGGGAACGGCAUCCGGAACUGUCAGGCUAGAGUGCAGGAGAGGAAGGUAGAAUUCCCGGUGUAGCGGUGAAAUGCGUAGAGAUCGGGAGGAAUACCAGUGGCGAAGGCGGCCUUCUGGACUGACACUGACGCUGAGGUGCGAAAGCGUGGGUAGCAAACAGGAUUAGAUACCCUUGUAGUC
rnacentral:rRNA from 1 species